rnacentral:rRNA from 1 species
GAUGAACGCUGGCGGCGUGCCUAAUACAUGCAAGUCGAGCGAACAGACGAGGAGCUUGCUCCUCUGACGUUAGCGGCGGACGGGUGAGUAACACGUGGAUAACCUACCUAUAAGACUGGGAUAACUUCGGGAAGCCGGAGCUAAUACCGGAUAACAUGUUGAACCGCAUGGUUCAACAGUGAAAGACGGUCUUGCUGUCGCUUAUAGAUGGAUCCGCGCCGCAUUAGCUAGUUGGUAAGGUAACGGCUUACCAAGGCAACGAUGCGUAGCCGACCUGAGAGGGUGAUCGGCCACACUGGAACUGAGACACGGUCCAGACUCCUACGGGAGGCAGCAGUAGGGAAUCUUCCGCAAUGGGCGAAAGCCUGACGGAGCAACGCCGCGUGAGUGAAGAAGGUCUUCGGAUCGUAAAACUCUGUUAUUAGGGAAGAACAAAUGUGUAAGUAACUAUGCACGUCUUGACGGUACCUAAUCAGAAAGCCACGGCUAACUACGUG